rnacentral:rRNA from 1 species
GUAGGUGGCAAGCGUUGUCCGGAAUUAUUGGGCGUAAAGCGCGCGCAGGCGGUUCUUUAAGUCUGAUGUGAAAGCCCACGGCUCAACCGUGGAGGGUCAUUGGAAACUGGAGAACUUGAGUACAGAAGAGGAAAGCGGAAUUCCACGUGUAGCGGUGAAAUGCGUAGAGAUGUGGAGGAACACCAGUGGCGAAGGCGGCUUUCUGGUCUGUAACUGACGCUGAGGCGCGAAAGCGUGGGGAGCAAACAGGGAUUAGAUACCCUGAUAGUCCACGCCGUAAACGAUGAGUGCUAAGUGUUAGGGGGUUUCCGCCCCCUUAGUGCUGCAGCUAACGCAUUAAGCACUCCGCCUGGGGAGUACGGCCGCAAGGCUG